rnacentral:ncRNA from 1 species
AUGAAAUAUAUUAUUGGGAAGAGUAAGUUUGAAUGAUAGCACAGAGAGCAUAUGGUUGGUGUAAAUAUGUAUAACAUUCAAUCUGAAGGUAGCCCACUUGAACUUUUAUUGAACCAUUAAUUAGUAGAUAAAAGCGUGUUUGAGCGUUAAUCAAAUUAAGUGCAAGUAUAUUAAUUUAUACUUGAAUUUAGGUGGUACCACGGAACAUCCGUCCUAUAU